UGUCUGACAGGUAUGGGACGUGUGAGUCACACACUGGCACUUGCUGAAAAUUUUCAGCAUGCCCACAAUGUUUUGAGGAGCUCAGCUUAUUAGGACGAACAUCAGCGAGCUUCAGCGUGUUUCAACGUGCUCUUAACUUCUAAAAAAC